rfam:Erinaceus europaeus unplaced genomic scaffold scaffold00740, whole genome shotgun sequence
CUAAAGGCUCUUUUCAGAGCCACUUAAAUUGUCAUUGACUGUUGCU